UUUCGGCCCCUUGGGUUUUUUAAUAACGCGUUUGGUGGUUUUGACCUUUUUGACAUCUCCGGUUUCAGUGCGUAUUUGUGUAACCUGAACAGUCUCGGGUUGUUCCUCGAUUGGUUCGGCUUUGUCUGGUUUGUGUAAGUCUUCAAGGGGUGUGGUGGUUUCGUCAGUGAAUUCCUCUGUUUUGUGUACAGUGACAAUGGGUUGUGAGUCAUCAGUUUGUUCUGUGGUGAUUUCUGUUGUUUCGACUUUCGGACCUACCUUCUUUUUGAUGACGCGUUUAGUGAUUUUCUUUUGUUUGGGCUUACCAUCAGGAGCAGUGGAUUCCUCGACGGUGGUUUCUUCGGGCAGUUCAACGAUUUCGACGGGCUUCGUUUCUUCUGUUUCUUCGGGAGUCUUUUCCUCGGUUACUGUGACCGUCGUUAUCGGAGCUUCGUCAUCUUUCUCGAUGGUUGUGAUUUCGGUGACUUCUUGUUUCGGUCCCUUCUGUUUUUUGAUGACGCGUUUGGUGGUUUUGACCUUUUUGACGUCUCCGGUUUCAGUGCGUAUUUGUGUAACCUGAACAGUCUCGGGUUGUUCCUCGACUGGUUCGGCUUUGUCAGGUGUGUGUAAGUGUUCAAGAGGUGUGGUGGUUUCGUCAGUGAAUUCCUCUGUUUUGUGUACAGUGACAAUGGGUUGUGAGUCGUCAGUGUGUUCUGUGGUGAUGUCGUGGUUUCUACUUUCGGACCUACCUUCUUUUUGAUGACACGUUUGGUUACUUUCUUUUGUACUUUCUUACCGUCAGGCGUCGUGGACUCCUCGACGAAGGUCUCCUCGGGUAAUUCGGUGACAGUAACGGGCUUGUCUUCUUUUUCUUCAGGAGCUUCUUCCUCAGUUACUGUGACCGUCGUUAUCGGAGCUUCGUCAUCUUUCUCGAUGGUUGUGAUUUCGGUGACUUCUUGUUUCGGUCCCUUCUGUUUUUUGAUGACGCGUUUGGUGGUUUUAACCUUUUUGACGUCUCCGGUUUCAGUGCGUAUUUGUGUAACCUGAACAGUCUCGGGUUGUUCCUCGACUGGUUCGGCUUUGUCAGGUGUGUGUAAGUGUUCAAGAGGUGUGGUGGUUUCGUCAGUGAAUUCCUCUGUUUUGUGUACAGUGACAAUGGGUUGUGUGUCGUCAGUGUGUUCUGUGGUGAUGUGUGUGGUUUCUACUUUCGGACCUACCUUCUUUUUGAUAACACGUUUGGUUACUUUCUUUUGUACUUUCUUACCGUCUGGCGUCGUUGUCUCCUCGACGAAGGUCUCCUCGGGUAAUUCGGUGACAGUAACGGGCUUGUCUUCUUUUUCUUCAGGAGUUUCUUCCUCAGUGACCGUAACAGUCGUGAUAGGAGCUUCGUCAUCUUUCUCGAUGGUUGUGAUUUCGGUGACUUCUUGUUUCGGUCCCUUCUGUUUUUUGAUGACGCGUUUGGUGGUUUUGACCUUUUUGACGUCUCCAGUUUCAGUGCGCACUUGUGUGACCUGAACAGUCUCGGGUUGUUCCUCGACUGGUUCGGCUUUGUCUGGUUUGUGUAAGUCUUCAAGAGGUGUGGUGGUUUCGUCAGUGAAUUCCUCUGUUUUGUGUACAGUGACAAUGGGUUGUGAGUCGUCUGUUUGUUCUGUGGUGAUUUCUGUUGUUUCGACUUUCGGACCUACCUUCUUUUUGAUGACGCGUUUAGUGAUUUUCUUUUGUUUGGGCUUACCAUCAGGAGCAGUGGAUUCCUCGACGGUGGUUUCUUCGGGCAGUUCAACGAUUUCGACGGGCUUCGUUUCUUCUGUUUCUUCGGGAGUCUUUUCCUCGGUUACUGUGACCGUCGUUAUCGGAGCUUCGUCAUCUUUCUCGAUGGUUGUGAUUUCGGUAACUUCUUGUUUCGGUCCCUUCUGUUUUUUGAUGACGCGUUUGGUGGUUUUGACCUUUUUGACGUCUCCGGUUUCAGUGCGUAUUUGUGUGACCUGAACAGUCUCGGGUUGUUCCUCGACUGGUUCGGCUUUGUCAGGUGUGUGUAAGUGUUCAAGAGGUGUGGUGGUUUCGUCAGUGAAUUCCUCUGUUUUGUGUACAGUGACAAUGGGUUGUGUGUCGUCAGUGUGUUCUGUGGUGAUGUGUGUGGUUUCUACUUUCGGACCUACCUUCUUUUUGAUAACACGUUUGGUUACUUUCUUUUGUACUUUCUUACCGUCUGGCGUCGUUGUCUCCUCGACGAAGGUCUCCUCGGGUAAUUCGGUGACAGUAACGGGCUUGUCUUCUUUUUCUUCAGGAGUUUCUUCCUCAGUGACUGUAACAGUCGUGAUAGGAGCUUCGUCAUCUUUCUCGAUGGUUGUGAUUUCGGUGACUUCUUGUUUCGGUCCCUUCUGUUUUUUGAUGACGCGUUUGGUGGUUUUGACCUUUUUGACGUCUCCGGUUUCAGUGCGUAUUUGUGUGACCUGAACAGUCUCGGGUUGUUCCUCGACUGGUUCGGCUUUGUCUGGUUUGUGUAAGUGUUCAAGAGGUGUGGUGGUUUCGUCAGUGAAUUCCUCUGUUUUGUGUACAGUGACAAUGGGUUGUGAGUCGUCUGUUUGUUCUGUGGUGAUUUCUGUUGUUUCGACUUUCGGACCUACCUUCUUUUUGAUGACGCGUUUAGUGAUUUUCUUUUGUUUGGGCUUACCAUCAGGAGCAGUGGAUUCCUCGACGGUGGUUUCUUCGGGCAGUUCAACGAUUUCGACGGGCUUCGUUUCUUCUGUUUCUUCGGGAGUCUUUUCCUCGGUUACUGUGACCGUCGUUAUCGGAGCUUCGUCAUCUUUCUCGAUGGUUGUGAUUUCGGUGACUUCUUGUUUCGGUCCCUUCUGUUUUUUGAUGACGCGUUUGGUGGUCUUAACCUUUUUGACGUCUCCGGUUUCAGUGCGUAUUUGUGUAACCUGAACAGUCUCGGGUUGUUCCUCGACUGGUUCGGCUUUGUCUGGUUUGUGUAAGUGUUCAAGAGGUGUGGUGGUUUCGUCAGUGAAUUCCUCUGUUUUGUGUACAGUGACAAUGGGUUGUGAGUCGUCUGUUUGUUCUGUGGUGAUUUCUGUUGUUUCGACUUUCGGACCUACCUUCUUUUUGAUGACGCGUUUAGUGAUUUUCUUUUGUUUGGGCUUACCAUCAGGAGCAGUGGAUUCCUCGACGGUGGUUUCUUCAGGCAGUUCAACGAUUUCGACGGGCUUCGUUUCUUCUGUUUCUUCGGGAGUCUUUUCCUCGGUUACUGUGACCGUCGUUAUCGGAGCUUCGUCAUCUUUCUCGAUGGUUGUGAUUUCGGUGACUUCUUGUUUCGGUCCCUUCUGUUUUUUGAUGACGCGUUUGGUGGU